rnacentral:rRNA from 1 species
GAUGAACGCUGGCGGCGUGCCUAAUACAUGCAAGUCGAGCGAACAGAUGAGGAGCUUGCUCCUCUGACGUUAGCGGCGGACGGGUGAGUAACACGUGGAUAACCUACCUAUAAGACUGGGAUAACUUCGGGAAACCGGAGCUAAUACCGGAUAAUAUAUUGAACCGCAUGGUUCAAUAGUGAAAGACGGUUUUGCUGUCACUUAUAGAUGGAUCCGCGCCGCAUUAGCUAGUUGGUAAGGUAACGGCUUACCAAGGCAACGAUGCGUAGCCGACCUGAGAGCGAGAGGGGGGAGAAGGGAAGGGAGAUGCGGAAAGGACGACUACGGGACGCAGCAGGGGGGAAUGUGUGAGAAGGGGCGAAAGACGGAAAAAGAAAUGUAGAGGGAGAGAAGAAGGGCUUAGGAUAGUAAAAAAGUGGGAAUAGGGAAGAAAAAGAAGGGAAUGACAAAGGGAGGGGCUGAAGGGACGGAAAGAGUAAGAAAAGGCGAAAUAGGGG